rnacentral:lncRNA from 1 species
CUGCAUCUCUCAGUAAUACUAAACCAUUAGUCAUGCCUGGGUCAGUGAUGUGUCAAUAACAGAAUAAUUAUUGAAGAUAGCCUUAAGAGGAAGGACAUCAGCCUCAAAUCAGCAUUAGCUCAACUCAAACCGCCACCAGGGCUUGUUGAAUAAAUGAAUGCAUGUCUAAUAAAAGGCCUCUUUACAUCUGGAGACCUAAAGACUGUUGAUUCCAUUAAUCCAAAGGGUUAUUUGUAGCUGCUAAACACGUUUUUAGACCAAUAAGUGACAGGCUUUUACUCCUGCUGACUGCAACCCACCCUUCUCAAGUAGAACAAAUUCACUGUACUUAAUGGCUCUGGCAUUUUAAAAGGAAGUUGGUCAGCAGGGCUGUUUGGAACAUCUGCACCUUUGCAGAACACUAAAUGCAGGGGAGAAACUCUUCCCACUCACAGGAGAUGCAAUCUUGAGAUUCUGAAAUCAGGGUGCCUCCAAACUCUGCGCUAGACCUCUGGUGGAAACCAAACAGCGAGGUGCUAAUAAAAGAAAUAAGGGACACUCAGAGAGGCAGCGCAGCUCAACAAUUAACAUCAGAAACGCAGGAAAUAGAUAUGCACACAGGGAGAGCACCAUGUGAAGAUGGCAAUUGUGCUGCCAGAAGCCAAGGAACUCCCAGAAGCUGGGAGAGAGGCCUGGAACACAUCCUUGGCAUUAACAAUAAGGUUAAUUUAUUGGCUGAUACAACUGAAAGCCCAGAAAUCAUGAGACAGUUUGAUGAGGGCUCUGGCUCCAAUUUUUUAUAUUCUCUUGGAUCUUCCUUUUUUAAGUGCCACCUUUAACUUUAGGCUAGCUUCCCUCUUGAGGACAAAAUGGAAGCUAUAGUUUAGGGUUCACAUUCCCAUACCAGAUUAUUCAGAAAAAUCAAGCUUCCCAAGCAAUGGCCUAAAGUCAUAAGCCAUUGACAUUUACCUCUGCAUCAAUCACCAUGACAGAAGGGAAGGAAUUUUGCUGAUUGAUUUAAGCCAAUGAGGGUACAUACCUGAACCUGGCAGUGGGGGUAGUCCCAGUCAACCUCAUGGCUGCUCUUCCAAUGGAGAAAUAAAUGCUAAGAGAAGCAUGACAGCAAACCCAAGCAUUCAUUCAGAUAUUCAGUACUGCCAGCUGAGCCCUUUCAUGGUGUUGUAUAAAACUGAAAUGGUGGUAAUUGCUACAAAUGAUGU